rnacentral:rRNA from 1 species
UGAGGAAUAUUGCGCAAUGCCCGAAAGGGUGACGCAGCGACGCCGCGUGGAGGAUGAAGGCCCUCUGGGUCGUAAACUCCUGUUGAGAGGGAAGAAUGGAGCGCUAUAGGCGCUCGUGACGGUACCUCUAGAGAAAGCACCGGCUAACUACGUGCCAGCAGCCGCGGUAAUACGUAGGGUGCUAGCGUUGUCCGGAUUCACUGGGUGUAAAGGGAGCGCAGGCGGGUCUUCAAGUCGUUGGUGAAAUUCUCAGGCUCAACCUGGGGACUGCCAAUGAUACUGGAGAUCUUGAGUGCAGAAGAGGAAGACGGAAUUCCUGGUGUAGCGGUGAAAUGCGUAGAUAUCAGGAAGAACACCGGUGGCGAAGGCGGUCUUCUGGUCUGUAACUGACGCUCAUGCUCGAAAGCGUGGGGAGCAAACAGG